CUGAGUUCGACCAGAGCAAGGGGAAACAAGGGGGAACCCUUGUUCUUGAUAAAUCCAAGCAAUUGACAACGAAUUUCAAGGAUAAUCGGUUGCAUGUCUCAAAUUAUCGAUCAUCUAAGCGUAUAUAUUGAAGUGGCACGAAGAAGGAAGAAGGUGCAAGUCACUCGAAGGCAUAAGUAUCUCAAGAUCGCGGUAAAUCCUCAACUUAGGCGACUCGGCGAAAUGGAGCGAGCACGUGUCCAUGUCAUGUUAUACCAAAUGCUUCCGCUAGCUUAUGUUCAUCUUUAUGGUCCAUGACUUGUUAUUAUUUUUUUUUUUUCAACUUUGUUAGUAGUCGUACAUUUGUAAAGCUUGUCGUCUUGCUUUGAGUAGUUUAAGGUCAAACGAAUUGUAGUAUGUUGUUUAGUUUAUUAUGUUAAAAAUAGGGGGCACGUUCGUUUUACGAACGGGUCAUGCCGAAUUUUUGUAAAAAUUUUACUAUGUAUCAAAGUUGGUAUUUUUGAUGUC